UACAGAGGUCCCGAGCGUUGUUCGGAUUUAUUGGGCGUAAAGGGUGCGUAGGCGGCAAAGUAAGUUGGAUGUGAAAUCCUGGGGCUUAACCUCAGAAUUGCAUUCAAUACUGCUUAGCUAGAGAGCUGUAGAGGAGACUGGAAUUUACGGUGUAGCAGUGAAAUGCGUAGAUAUCGUAAGGAACGCCAGUGGCGAAAGCGAGUCUCUGGGCAGCAUCUGACACUGAGGCACGAAGGCCAGGGGAGCAAACGGG
rnacentral:rRNA from 1 species